rnacentral:rRNA from 1 species
GAUGAACGCUGGCGGCAUGCCUAAGACAUGCAAGUCGAACGGAGUGGUCCAAUGAAGGCUGAGUGCUUGCACAAAGUUGGAUUUGGGUUUCCACUUAGUGGCAGACGGGUGAGUAACACGUAGGUAGCCUACCUCAAAGUCUGGGAUAACAGGACGAAAGUUUUGCUAAUACCGGAUGAUUUGUAGACAGAUAACUAUCUAUACUAAAAGAAGCGUUUGCUUCGCUUUGAGAUGGGCUUGCGGUGUAUUAGCUAGUUGGUGAGGUAAUGGCCCACCAAGGCAACGAUGCAUAGCCGAGCUGAGAGGCUGAACGGCCACACUGGGACUGAGACACGGUCCAGACUCCUACGGGAGGCAGCAGUGGGGAAUUUUGGACAAUGGGCGCAAGCCUGAUCCAGCAAUGCCGCGUGCAGGAUGAAGGCCUCGGUUGUAACUAGCUUUGUACGGUAACGAAACGGUAGAGCUCUAAUAAAGACUUGCUAA